rnacentral:tRNA from 1 species
GGGCGAUUAGCUCAGUGGUAGAGCACACCCUUCACACGGGUGGGGCCACAAGUUCGAACCUUGUAUCGCCUACCA